CGAGAUGGGACGUAGUAACUCCACCUUACGUCUGAUUCCUUCUUCAGAAAAAGGAGGCUCCACAUGGUCAACAACAACAACUGUUUUUGCAUCCAUAUCUGCUGUUUUCCUGCUGAUCAUCAUCCUCGCUGUCCUCUACAUCAGAUCCCACUGACCAACGCUGGACACCAGGAGGAAGAGGAGGAAGAGGAGAAAAAGAAGACGACGCCGUCCACAUGUAUCCACUUUGAUGGAGGCAGCGAGUGACAAUCUUUACUGAAUAUGGAUCCGUCUCUGCUUUUAUCAUCACUGUUUUAUUGCUGUUUAAACGUGUUAAUGAU